GUGCUCGCUCUGGCAGCACAUUUACUAAAAUUGGAGCUAUGCAGAGAAGAUUAGCCUGGCUCCUGCACAAGGAUGACACACAAAUUUAUGAGGUGUUCCACAUUUUU
ensembl:snRNA U6 U6 spliceosomal RNA